rnacentral:rRNA from 1 species
AUACGGAGGAUGCGAGCGUUAUCCGGAUUUAUUGGGUUUAAAGGGUGCGCAGGCGGCCAUUUAAGUCAGCGGUUAAAUCGUGGGGCUCAACCCCAUUCUGCCGUUGAUACUGGGUGGCUUGAUUGCGGUCGAGGUUGGCGGAAUUCGUUGUGUAGCGGUGAAAUGCAUAGAUAUGACGAAGAACACCGAUUGCGUAGGCAUCUGACCAGACCGCAAAUGACGCUCAUGCACGAAAGUGCGGGGAUCGAACAGGAUUAGAUACCCUGGUAGUCCGCACAGUAAACGAUGAAUACUUGUUUUCGGCGAUAUAAUGUCGGAGGCAAAGCGAAAGCGAUAAGUAUUCCACCUGGGGAGUACGCCGGCAACGGUGAAACUCAAAGAAAUUGACGGGG